AACCUGUGCGGAUGACGGUACCGGAAGAAGAAGCACCGGCUAACUACGUGCCAGCAGCCGCGGUAAUACGUAGGGUGCGAGCGUUAAUCGGAAUUACUGGGCGUAAAGCGUGCGCAGGCGGUUUUGUAAGACAGAUGUGAAAUCCCCGGGCUUAACCUGGGAACUGCAUUUGUAACUGCAAGGCUAGAGUACGGCAGAGGGGGGUAGAAUUCCACGUGUAGCAGUGAAAUGCGUAGAUAUGUGGAGGAAUAUCGAUGGCGAAGGCAGCCCCCUGGGUCGAUACUGACGCUCAUGCACGAAAAGCGUGGGGAGCAAACAGGAUUAGAUACCCUGGUAGUCCACGCCCUAAACGAUGUCAACUAGGUGUUGGGGGAGGAGACUUCCUUAGUACCGCAGCUAACGCGUGAAGUUGACCGCCUGGGGAUACGGUCGCAAGAUU
rnacentral:rRNA from 1 species